GACGAACGCUGGCGGCGUGCCUAAUACAUGCAAGUCGAACGCUUCUUUCCUCCCGAGUGCUUGCACUCAAUUGGAAAGAGGAGUGGCGGACGGGUGAGUAACACGUGGGUAACCUACCCAUCAGAGGGGGAUAACACUUGGAAACAGGUGCUAAUACCGCAUAACAGUUUAUGCCGCAUGGCAUAAGAGUGAAAGGCGCUUUCGGUUGUCGCUGAUGGAUGGACCCGCGGUGCAUUAGCUAGUUGGUGAGGUAACGGCUCACCAAGGCCACGAUGCAUAGCCGACCUGAGAGGGUGAUCGGCCACACUGGGACUGAGACACGGCCCAGACUCCUACGGGAGGCAGCAGUAGGGAAUCUUCGGCAAUGGACGAAAGUCUGACCGAGCAACGCCGCGUGAGUGAAGAAGGUUUUCGGAUCGUAAAACUCUGUUGUUAGAGAAGAACAAGGACGUUAGUAACUGAACGUCCCCUGACGGUAUCUAACCAGAAAGCCACGGCUAACUACGUG
rnacentral:rRNA from 1 species